rnacentral:rRNA from 1 species
GAUGAACGCUAGCGGCAGGCUUAAUACAUGCAAGUUGAGGGGCAGCAUGAUAUACGCGAGUAUAUUGAUGGCGACCGGCGGACGGGUGAGUAAUAGGUAGGAGACCUACCUCAUACAGGGGGAUAGCAUAGAGAAAUCUGUGGUAAUACCCCAUGAGGUUAUAUGAAUACCCCCGAGGCAUAUAAUCAAAGCAUAAGCGAUUAUGCGGUAUGAGAGGGGCCUACUGACCAUUAGCUAGUUGGUGAGGUAAGGGCUCACCAAGGCGAAGAUGGUUAGGGGUUUUGAGAGAGAGACCCCCCACAUUGGAACUGAGAGACGGUCCAGACUCCUACGGGAGGCAGCAGUAGGGAAUAUUGGGCAAUGGGCGAAAGCCUGACCCAGCCAUGCCGCGUGAAGGAAGACGGCCUUAUGGGUUGUAAACUUCUUUACUACGCGAAUAGAGGUUAGUACGAGAUACUAAUAGGAAGGUAGUGUAGUAAAAAGCACCGGCUAACUCCGUGCC